CACCGUUUUGGCUAAAAAUCUUCUUUACUGUUCUACUGAAGAAAAAAAGUCACCUACAUCUUGAAUGACCUAAAAGUGAGUAAAUUAACAGCACAUUUUCAAUUUUGGGUGAACUAUCUCUUUAAUGUGAUUUAUUAUUAAUAGUAAUUUACUCCAUUGUUUCCUACCAUUGUACAUGAAAUGGAUAAACUUCUGGAUCUUCUUCCUUUCUCAUAAAAGAGCUUGGAGAGCAUGUUGUAGAAGCGCCAAAUGGUCCCGGGACGAAAGGCGAAGACCAGCCUCUGAAAUCUCCCAGUGAUGCUGAGAAUGAUGAAGACGAUUAUGUAAAUGAUGAGAUAGGUAAGAUAAUAGCAUAUUAAUGAGUGUGUGGAAAAAUACAGCCUGAUUUGUCUUAUUCAAAAUAACGGUUGAGCAUUCAUACUGUAUUGUGUUCAUUUCAGUAUCAGUCAAUUAAUCUAGAGCAACAUCAAUCGCUUUGCUUUUCACACUCUAAAAAAUUCAGGGCUAAAAACAAC
rnacentral:lncRNA from 1 species